GCCCUUCUCGGCCCGGGUCCGAUCGAGCUCUCGCCGUACCACCGUGCAGAGCGCGAUUCGAAGGCCGAAGCCCGUGUCGAAUCCGCGAAGCGAACAAAGUUACGGCCCUCGUCUUAAACGACCGGAGUUCUCCGGUUCCUUGCCACGAGAGACUCGACGAGUCUAUUAGCGACAAUGAUUUCCCGGCAAUUAGGGGACUCGAUCGACGCGAGAGAAAGGUCUAUUAAUGCGAUUCGAUGGCCCCGCUCGGCCGAGAGAUGGCGAUCUCGAUUUGUCCCGUGCCCCCUCGCGAUUGGCCGGCGAUUUUUCUGGCACCGAAUCUAAAAUCAUUCUCUCUGUUCCUGCUCGUCCCCGGCAUCCCGGCAUCCCGGCAUCCCGGCAUCCCAGCACCACCACCCGGCCUACCCUCGCGCGUCUCUCGUCUCUCGUCUCUCGUCUCGCGCUCGUCGCGCGCCUCGCCGAGCCAUCGGGCCAUCGGGCCAGCGCUCGAAGUGUAUUGUGUUCGUCUCGCGCGUUUGCUCCUUCCUUCUUCGCCGUCAUCUUCUCUUCCGUUUUCGUUUAGGUCCCUGUACGGUGCUCUAAACUUAGCCGGCGAUCGUUCGUCCGCUCGUUCGCUCGUCCGCUCGUUCCCGUUCCCGUUCCCGUUGCCUUCGCCGUUCUCUCGUCCUCCUGUUCUUUUUCUCCGGAGCAGCCAGGUCCCGGUGUCUCCGCGUCUUCCCUCUUCUAGGAGAGUCCACCAGGCAGUUUGCAUCUUCCCCGUUCUUUGGGAUCCCCGGAGCUACACGCUCGCAGACGCGCGUCCGAACGCUCCGCGAAUCCGAGAUCUCGCGCGGCUCUUUCUGCGAAACGGGCGAAGCGACCUCGCCGUCCGUCCCAACCGCAUCGGGCAGGGUCGGGCUGCCGGCCGAAGAAUCCGUCGGUGGUGAGAGUGUCGCGUCGGAGUGAACCGGAGAAGUGAUACCGACCGGGCUUCCGGUGUAACGACCGUCUCUCGUUGCGCCCACGCCAGAGGAAAACGGCCAAGACCCGAGCUUCUGCCGCUUGUUGACCGAGUGUCUUCAAGCUGGAGCUGGCAAAGAGGGCUUUCGGCCUGAGGGGGUAAGAAACAUUUACCGUUACGAUUUCACCAGCUUUUUCGAAGCGUUCUCGACGAGUAACAAGUAAGUGAGCGACGCGCAAAAUUCUCGCGACAAACGCGUUUUCGUCGUAACUCUCGCCCGUUACGAUCCCAUCGAUCUUCCGCGAUAUCUCGAAACCGUUUCGAUAAUGUUAACUCGUAAACCGAGUCCCGACGAUUUGCCCACGCGCUUCUUGUCGCACGGAAGAACACGGGAAACGAUUCGGGUUAACGAACGUAGAACGAAUCCUCUCCGUGGAUACAGCGUUUAAGAGAAAAUGGUUUCACCGAACCAACCCGAGGAGAAUUUCGCGAUAAUGGAAUACGGGUUUUUAGCGGGCUCCCUCGGAAGCGGCGGCCUUCCGAUCGAUUCGAGCCAUGCCGCGUCGGGCCGCGACGGGCCGCGCCGCGCCCGCGGGUUAAUAGAUACCGCGAGGGCCAGACGAGGGGAACGCGGCCGUGGAAAAAUUAAUCUGGCGCGGCGAGCGCGGCGACGAUGUAAUUCCGCGCGAUCUCACGGAAUCCGAUCCGGCACCGUGCUCUCGUUUAACCAAUCUUCCCGCCUCUUAUCGCGACCCGACCCGGCCCGCGUAUUCCUCGCGACAUAAUUCUUUUCGGAAUUGGCUGCGCCGCGCGUCGCUCGCGGCGCAGAUUUCACGCCGCACCCGCUGAAUCGAGCACUGUGAAAAUCUACCUCCGCGCGUAUAUCUCGCUGAAUUUACAUAUCAAAUUGGACAUUUAACCGGUACUCUCGAAUACAGCCCCACGGCUGCAUCUCGCUGUUCUCGGUUUUCGACGAUCGACCGUCGCAUUUUUGACCGCGGGUGCAGCGACCGUAGUCCCAAAGACUACGGCAGACCCAAGAUCGGUCCUUGUGAAUUUUUUGUUAAAUAACCAACCGAUCGAAUCGAUAAACGGAAAAUUUGUCGGAGCGUCGGCAAUUGGAUAUCGCGACCAUCCCGCGGCACGGUGAAACGAUAUCGGUAGCCGGGUAUGGAAGAACAAGAGGGCAGGGCGCGAAUAGGUGCGCGAGUCGCGAGAGCUUUAUAGGUCACCGGUUGAUAAGGUCGAGUUCAUAGAAAACGGCAGAAUCGCUUUUUUGGCGGGGGUAUGGAUCAACGGCUAGAACCGCAUUUAUUUAUCCGUUCACCGUGUGCCCGAACCCCGAACCUCGA